rnacentral:rRNA from 1 species
UACGUAGGGUGCAAGCGUUAAUCGGAAUUACUGGGCGUAAAGCGUGCGCAGGCGGUUGUGCAAGACAGAUGUGAAAUCCCCGGGCUCAACCUGGGAAUUGCAUUUGUGACUGCACGGCUAGAGUGUGUCAGAGGGGGGUAGAAUUCCACGUGUAGCAGUGAAAUGCGUAGAGAUGUGGAGGAAUACCGAUGGCGAAGGCAGCCCCCUGGGACGGUACUGACGCUGAGACGCGAAAGCGUGGGGAGCAAACAGG